GACUGUAUUGGGCUGAAGAAAUCCUUAGUAUACUACCGUGGAAGUGCAGGAAAAGGCACCAAAACUGAUUGGAUGAUGCAUGAGUUUCGCCUCCCCGCAAACCAGAAAAAUACCAACCUCCCCAAUGCCAAGGCUGCUGACCAAGAAGCUGUAAGAAAAAAAAUAAACUACUCAGAAAUAUAUACACACAUGAAUUAAUUGUUUGUUUGACAAUUACAUGUUUUUCUUUGUGAGGUUGCAGGAAAUAUGGACACUAUGUCGAAUUUUCAAGCGAGAUGUGUCGUACAGAAAGUACACACCAGAUUGGAGAGAAUCAUCUGCUAGACACAAUCCAGUGAAUGCAAGAACUAAAACAUGCGAUGCGGAUUCGGAAAACUUGGAAUAUUACAAUAUUAGUUUUGGAGCUUCAGCUGCUCUUGAUGAUGAGAAGAAGCCUGUUGUUGGUCACAGUAUGGAUGGAAGGAUCCAGUUGCAUGUAGGUUCAGAGCCGGAGUCAUGCUCAACUGUUUUGAGUGAGGAAGCUAGGGAGUUCUUUACAAAUGGGAAUUGGGAUGAGAUUGUAUCAGCCAUGGAUUUUGCUUUUGAUCCAUAUCAUCUGUGAAUAACUAUGGAAUUUGCUUGUAGCUGAAUUCACCUUGCACUUCUAUUUUUUAAAUUAAGGCUAUAUUUGGUUUCAAAAUAUUCGACUAAAAAUUAUGAGGGAAGGAAAAUAGAGAGUAAAAGUUGAAGAAAAGAAAAAGUUCAAGAAAACUAAAAAAUAAAUUCAAAGUCAAUAAAUUAUUUCUAAAUACUUCUUCAAAUUCAUUUAACUUAUUUUCCUCUAUUAUAUAAAGAUUAAAUAAUUUUAAAAUGUAUAAAUUUUUAAUUAAUUUUAAUUAGAUUUUAUUUUCUUUCAUAUUUUUUCAUAAUGAAACCAAAUAUUAUAAGAUUUUUCGUAACACUUUUUUCUUUCCUUAGUACUUUUCGGAAAUGAACAUAACCUAAAAUAUUAUACUAAUUAUUAAGAAACUUUACUAGACCAAACAGAUCUAUAAUACUCUAUAAAAAAUUAUUAGGGAAUAAAUAUAAUAACUCGCAUUUAAUUGUAUAGAUAUUAUUCGCUCUGGGCCUAAAGAGACCCAUAUGACUUUAAAAUAUGUCUACAAGGUUAAGAGGAGUUCAUAUUUAUAUAAUGACAUAAACUUUUUCUCCUAUUUGAUAUGAGACGUUGCAAACAUCUCCCAUGUAAACACAAUAUUAUUGUUAUGUCCCAUGGGAUUAUAAGACCAAAUAAACUGACACCCCUCACGGGGCCAAACAAACUCUCACACCAGGGUCAAGAAUCGGCUUUGAUGUCAUUUAUAACGACUCGUAUCCAAUCGUAUAGAUAUUGUUUGCUUUGAGCCCAAAUGGGCUAUUACGACUUUAAAAUACGUCUAUAAGGUUAAGAGAAGUUUAUACUUAUAUAGUAUUAAAAGCUUUAUCCCUUAUUCAACAUGGGACAUCAUAAUAAAUGUAUAUUUGUAAUAAACUAUUGACUUAUUUGUUUUUAUUUCGUUCCAUUCAUUUUUUAAAAUUUUUUGUUCCAUUCAUUCUAAUUUAAGAUUACGUUACUUUGAUUUAUAAUUCCUAUGAAGACUUAUGGUUAAAACAAAAUCUUCGAGAAUUAUAUCGAUAAGCAUGGUUGAAUUAAUUGGAAAUAAUGAUCUAAAAGACAUAAAAUACACUUAUAUGGAAAUUGGAAAUGAAGUGAACUUGGAAAACAAUUUUAGUUCAAUGCUGUACAUUAAGAAAAAGGAGACUGGGUGUUUAAAAUUUGAGAAAAAUAGAAAUCUUAAUUAGAGCACUAAAGCACCCUCAAGGGUGCUCUCAUCGCUCAAGUGGCCUUAGUAGGUGCUUAGUGCUUGAGAUAGGAUUGCCUAAAUUUACCAAGUUUCCAAAAUUUCUCCGAGAUCCUAAUUUCUAUUUGGGUAAAAUUUGAUUUCUAUUUAAACCUCCAUUUAUGUUUUUAUGUGAUCGCAGCAUAAAAAAGAAAGUCUGAAUUUUCCAUAGAAGCCAGCUCGAAAUAUUUGAUCUUAGGUGCAUUUCCCUCUGGAAUAUUUUUGUUUGGGUAUAUGACCGGACAACUACCGAUAUCUAUUAAUAUCUUUUCUUAGAAUGUUGUUGUUAAAUAUAUAAUUAUCUAUCUAUUUCGUAAACUAUCAGAUCGGGUUUAGAUGUGAAACUUGCAGACCUCAUUGGUUGUGAUAUUGAUCUUACGGGGGGGAACGAAAUCAAAGAAUAUAGAGACUUGUAGAAACCCUCUAUGUAGUUCUCUAUCUAGGGCGAUCGAUCUACAUCUUUCCCCAUAGCCCUGGGGCUAUGUCUCGAUCUUCUACGUGCGAAAUCUGAGGGACUAGUUCCUAUGGAGAUUCCGCUUGGUCUAAUUCCACGCCUUAUGACGAAAGGGGAGUCGACGUGGCGUAAAGUGAAGAUUGAGGGGAGUAGAGCAAAAUUCCCUUCUGGGUCUUCCGAAGGUGUAACCUAGGCAACGAAAAAGGGGCCCGAUACUUCAACUAGAGGAGCGACCAGUUGGUUCACCAAACCCCGACCCAGCGUCACACGUUCUCCAGGCCCGAGGGGAUCCAGUGCCUAACUACCGACUCCUCUUGGAAUUGCGUUAUCGGAGCCGAGCCAGGAAUGGCCGUUAGUGGACACCCACCACUUUUCACAGGUUAGAGAGGCCCUCUUUAAUACAUGAAGAAAAGAUGUUCAUAGGGGCUAGAAAGACUCGGUCAUAGGAACUUAGACCACCUACGCGCUGGUAAACGAAAACCACCUCGACCCGAUCAGAGUAAACAACAAUGUCAAAUCAGGUUUUUCUUCCUUGAAAGAAUUCACACGCGGCCACCAGCUUUCCCAAAAUAAAGGGAGAUUCGCUGCUUACUGCUCAUGAAAACAUUCGACCUAUACUUAUAGUCAAGUCGUUCGCGUAUCCUUUUGAUCUCCUUUCCUUCUAUUCAUCAUAUUUUUGGCUUUGACCAAUUCAAAGUGAAAAAUGGGGUUGAUGAUGUUGGCUAAAAAGGAGGGAGGGGAUCCGUAUAUGUUGUUCAGGUUGAUCAAAGGGUGCAGAAAUAGUGUCUAAUGUAGAGCAAUUUUUCUUUACGCAAAGGUGGUGUUUGUUUUUUGGCUGAAUAGAAAAAGCCAAAAUAUUUGGCUUUUUCUAUUCAGUUAAAAGUAACCCUCUGACAUCAUUCAAUACAAUUAAAUUGAACUUAUUUGAUAACAAAUUAAUUUUAACUAUGUUCGAUGAUGUCAACACACAACUUUUACCUAAAUAGAAAAAGCCAAANNNNNNNNNNNNNNNNNNNNNNNNNNNNNNNNNNNNNNNNNNNNNNNNNNNNNNNNNNNNNNNNNNNNNNNNNNNNNNNNNNNNNNNNNNNNNNNNNNNNUUUAAAAGUCAUAUGGGUCUCUUUAGGCCCAGAGCGAAUAAAUAUCUAUACAAUUAAAUGCGAGUAUUAUAUUAUUCCCUAAUAAUUUUUUAUAGAGUAUAUAGAUCUGUUGGGUCUAGUAAAGUUUCUUAAUAAUUAGUAUAAUAUUUUUAGGUUAUGUUCAUUUCCGAAAAGUACUAAGGAAAGAAAAAAGUGUUACGAAAAAUCUUAUAAUAUUUGGUUUCAUUAUGAAAAAAUAUGAAAGAAAAUAAAAUCUAAUUAAAAUUAAUUUAAAAAUUUAUACAUUUUAAAAUUAUUUAAUCUUUAUAUAAUAGAGGAAAAUAAGUUAAAUGAAUUUGAAGAAGUAUUUAGAAAUAAUUUAUUGACUUUGAAUUUAUUUUUUAGUUUUCUUGAACUUUUUCUUUUCUUCAACUUUUACUCUCUAUUUUCCUUCCCUCAUAAUUUUUAGUCGAAUAUUUUGAAACCAAAUAUAGCCUUAAUUUAAAAAAUAGAAGUGCAAGGUGAAUUCAGCUACAAGCAAAUUCCAUAGUUAUUCAGCCAAAAAACAAACACUACCUAAGUCUUACUUCAUUAUCUUUGUACUUAACCCGACUCUCUCAAGAAGUAUCUUUUUGUUCAUGAGCUUCAACUAAUAAAAUCAUACCACCUCAAGGAGUUGAAGAAUCCACUAAGGAGCACAGGGGUGCUACGUUGUAAGCAAAAAAUAGGUAAAGUUGGUGACAAUGUAUUUAUGAGGGAGUAACAAUUACGAAAUAAAUUUGUGUACGUGCUUCUUCAAAAUUAAUGGAUUAUAGUUUUACGGUUUGAUUUUUCCAUGUAAAUCACUUAUGUACUUGUGUGAUUAAAAUUAUUAGAUUAAUAAUUAAAGAACCCAUUUAAGAAAUUUUAAUCUUUGGGUUAAAUGGAGAAAUACUACUUAUUUUAUAUGUAUAAUACUAAUUAACUUUUUCUAAAUUAAUAUUAAUAUUUUUUAUAUCUAAAAUUUAUUUCAAUUUAACAAUGCCUAAACUGUGUCAAAUUGAAAAACAAGCAAAACAUAAUUUCAAGAAGGCGAUUCGAACUUUGUCAAAUUUAUUUCAGAAUUAUUUAUGAUAAUCAUAAGGAAAAGAAACUAGAAUUUAAUAAUUUAUAAAAUCUUCACCAUAUAUACAUUUUAUUAUAUUUUUUUUCAAUAAAAUUUACUAUCUUUCUCAUAUAUAUUUUAUAAGUAUUUUGUUUAUUUGUUACAGUAUUGAUUAUUAUAAAUAGAUAUAUUUUUUAUAUUUGAACAAUUUAGUUGAUUAAUCAUAAGUAUAUUAAAAUAUUUUAAUCAAUAUCACUUUAAAAUAAAAGUAAAACGAAAUUUAAAAAAUGAUAAACAAAUGUAAUAUAAUAAUUAAACCAUAUACAAUGUAGAAGAAGUAUUUUAUUAUUAUUAGUGGUGAUAUAUAAUAUCAUAAUGGUUAUAUCAAUAUAUCUCAUAAAAUUUGAAUUAUAUAAAAAUUUAAUCAUAUAUAUUUUUAUAAUUAUUUUAUAUUAAGUAAAACUUAAAACCAAACAAGGUUUCGUAAACUUUAUUUUUUAAUCAAACGCACUAAAAAAUAAAUAUAGGAAGUAUGAAUUUUGAAUUUCGGAAUUGACGAAGACAGACAAAAGUAAAAAAAAAAAAAAUUUGAUUAAAAAAAUAAUUGAUAACUUAAUUUUAGAAAUCUAACUUUUCGUGGUUUUAUGGUCUCAUUUACAUAUAUUAUAAAAAUAACAUUUCUAUUAAAACAUAUGUAAAUAUUUAAAAUAAUUAAAGAUAUUUGUAUAAAAAAUAGAAUACUCUUCAAACAAAAACAUAAAAAAAAAAAAAAAAAGAGGUUAAAUUCAUACAUACGAAGAUGUUCGUACCUUUUAACACAAUAGAAUAUAGGAAGCAAGAGCAUUACUACGUGGAAGGGUCGGGUCUAAAACCCUAGAUGGGGACCUCAUCCGCUAGUGGCCAACUCAACAUAACUAGAAAAAUCCACGGCAUGGAGAAGGCCUAGUCCAUUGGACCUGGUCGAUCCCAUUUGCUGAGGGUAGGAGCCCGGCUAAUAAAUCGAGUUGACCGAUUAGCCCGCCUCAAAAAAGACAGGACACGCUGCAUGAGAGCAAUUGUGGUCGAAGUUU
rnacentral:lncRNA from 1 species